rnacentral:rRNA from 1 species
AUUGAACGCUGGCGGCAGGCCUAACACAUGCAAGUCGAGCGAGCGGCGGACGGGUGAGUAAUGUCUGGGAAACUGCCUUAUGGAUGGGGAUAACUACUGGAAACGGUAGCUAAUACCGCAUACCAUCAGAUGUGCCCAGAUGGGAUUAGCUAGUAGGUGGGGUAACGGCCUACCUAGGCGACGAACCGUAGCUGGUCUGAGAGGUUGACCAGCGACACGGGAACUGGGACAGGGUCCAGACGACUGCGGUAGGCAGCAGUGGGGAAUAUUGGGCAAUGGGCGCGAGCCUGAUGCAGCGAGGCCGAGUGUGUGAAGAAGGCCUUCGGGUUGGAAAGCACUUUAAGCGGGGAGGCGUUACCCGCAGAAGAAGCACCGGCUAACUCCGUGCCAGCAGCCGCGGUAAUUC